CCUACGGGGGGCUGCAGUAGGGAAUCUUCCGCAAUGGACGAAAGUCUGACGGAGCAACGCCGCGUGAGUGAUGAAGGUUUUCGGAUCGUAAAGCUCUGUUGUUAGGGAAGAACAAGUACCGUUCGAAUAGGGCGGUACCUUGACGGUACCUAACCAGAAAGCCACGGCUAACUACGUGCCAGCAGCCGCGGUAAUACGUAGGUGGCAAGCGUUGUCCGGAAUUAUUGGGCGUAAAGGGCUCGCAGGCGGUUUCUUAAGUCUGAUGUGAAAGCCCCCGGCUCAACCGGGGAGGGUCAUUGGAAACUGGGGAACUUGAGUGCAGAAGAGGAGAGUGGAAUUCCACGUGUAGCGGUGAAAUGCGUAGAGAUGUGGAGGAACACCAGUGGCGAAGGCGACUCUCUGGUCUGUAACUGACGCUGAGGAGCGAAAGCGUGGGGAGCGAACAGGAUUAGAUACCCUGGUAGUC
rnacentral:rRNA from 1 species